UUAUUGGGGCGUAAGCGCGCGCAGGUGGUUUCUUAAGUCUGAUGUGAAAGCCCCCCCCUCAACCGUGGAGGGUCAUUGGAAACUGGGAGACUUGAGUGCAGAAGAGGAAAGUGGAAUUCCAUGUGUAGCGGUGAAAUGCGUAGAGAUAUGGAGGAACACCAGUGGCGAAGGCGACUCUCUGGUCUGUAACUGACACUGAGGCGCGAAAGCGUGGGGAGCAAACAGGAUUAGAUACCCUGGUAGUCCACGCCGUAAACGAUGAUUGCUAAGUGUU
rnacentral:rRNA from 1 species